UAUUAUCGGGAGGAGGAUCUGUCUCAUUCCCACCAAUACACGGUGUAAAUGUGGAAGGAGUACAGACACCCCCCAACUACUAUUGCUCUUUUUGGCCCAAAAACUACACAUUGGCUCUUAUGGGAAGACUCUUACCAGUAUUGUAAAGCUCAAUGAAUCCCAAGUUUGAAUAGUCGCCAAGUGUAAAUCUUCACUAAACAAUACUAAAUACGUCACACGUUUAUUGUCAACUCCGAAAUUACGAACGGCAUAGAGAUGUAUCGCGCAAACACUCGUGGAGCGUGUGUUUUGUAGCAAAAUGAUCAACCGCAGAGAGAAAAUGUGGAUGAACUUCAUCAGAAUUGUCUCAAUGCAAGACAGACUACUUCCAUGAAUCAAAUGCCAAUGACAAUUUCAGAACAGUUCAAGCAAUCAUGGCUCACAGCUAUAAUUGGAUCCAUCAUGUUUGCAACCGGAAUGUGUCUUCUAUUUUGGAACGAGG